GAAUUAAACAAAAUGCCUGAAUAAGAGGGAAUUUCCUCCUGCGUGACUGCCUUGAGGUGGAACAUCAGUGUUUUUGCUGCCAUCAGACUCAUACUGAAACGCUGGUCUUUCUGGAUCCCAAGCCUCUAGGCCUUUGGACUGGAACUGCACCAUCAGCAUUUCUGUGUCUCCAGCUUGUCAACUGCAGAUCUGGGGACUUGUCAGCCUUCAUGAUGACCACAACACUGACUUUGACUGAAAGACAAAGGAAGUCAUAGCACCUCAAAGCUUGGUGAAUAAUGAAACAAAUGAUGAUACAUCCACACCACAGAAUCCUACUCAGCAAGAAAAAUAAACUAUUACUGCCUGCACAAAUUGGAUAAACCUCAAGGGAGUUACUCUGAGUGGAAAAAGCCAAUAUCAAAAGGUUUCGGGAAUAAAGGAGCAAGGAAGUUGGCAGCAUCUACAAAAUGAUAGCACAAAGGAGCCCUGUGAUGGAAGUGACCUGUACUUUGAGUGCAGUGGUGAGUCUACACAUGCGAUGAUAUUACACAGAAUGAAGUACACACACCGCACACACGAAUGUAUGUAAAACUGGCAAAAUCUGAAUAAGGUCAGUGGAUUUUAUCUGUGUCAGUUUUUAAAUUGUGAUAUUUUACUACAGUUGUAUAAAAUAUGACCAUUGGGAGAAACUAGAUGAAGCUUUCAUGGGAGCUUACGUGGCUUUGCAUUUUUUCUUAUAACUGCAUGGGAAUCUAUAAUUACGUCAAAAUAAGAAGCUUAUAAAGCAAAUGAACAUUAAAUAUUUUAAAAACAGGAAUGCU